rnacentral:rRNA from 1 species
GCCGGAAUUGCUAGUAAUGGCAGGUCAGCAUACUGCCGUGAAUACGUUCCCGGGCCUUGUACACACCGCCCGUCACACCAUGAGAGUUGGGGAUACCCGAAGCCUGUGAGCUAACUAUUUAUAGGAACAGCAGUCGAAGGUAGAAUCAAUGAUUGGGGUGAAGUCGUAACAAGGUACC